UCAGUCAUGUCCAACUCUGUGCGACCCCAUAGACGGCAGCCCACCAGGCUCCCCCGUCCCUGGGAUUCUCCACUGUAAACUGGAGUGGGUUGCCAUUUCCUUCUUCAAUGCAUGAAAGUGAAAAGUGAAAGUGAAGUCUCUCAGUCGUGUCCAACCCUCAGGGUCUUCUAAUUUAUGACAAAUCUCUUGUAGCUUAGUCAGUAAAGAAACUGCCUGCAAUGCAGGAGACCCAGUUUCAAUUCCUGGGUCAGGAAGAUCCCCUGGAGAAGGAAAUGGCAACCCACUCCACUAUUCUUGCCUGGGAAAUCCCAUGGACAGAGGAGCCUGGUGGGCUACAGUCCAUGGGGUCACAAGAGUCAGACAUGACUGAGAGACUAAACCACUAAACCACCAAAAAUUUAUGUCAACAAAAACAAGGCAGUUUCUUCCUUGCUCACCAAAACUCAGGUAGCCCUGAGCCAUCAGGAAAGAAGGAAGACUUCCAACCCUCAGCUAUCUGGUCAACCAUUGCAUUCAGUACUUCCAGAUGAAGUCCUAACAGUGCCACUCUCACUGGACUCUGAAUUCCUGUGUGUCUAUCAUGUUUUAUUAUUUGCUGUAUUGUUUUGUUUCUGUGAUGUUUUGACAUUUGGGACCUUGCAAACCUAGGGAGGGAUUGCCCACUUCACGCACACCACCCAGAGUUAGCUAAUUUCUAGAGAUAGCAGGCAUCUUGUCUGUGAGUACCUCUUUAAUAUGCAAACCAACGCAUCCUGGCAGAACCUGCUGGAAAUCUGCCAUCUGUGGUACUGGGGGAAGUUCUUCACAAGGAGCUGCUGCACUUCAAAACUCACUGCAGAGCCUCUCAACUGGGGGCCAAGGGAAGCUGCUGGCCACUGUGCACUGCUGGCUGCCAUGUGCUGUGGGAUACAAGUGAUAAGAAGCCCCCCACGCGGCAGGAGCCCCUGAGCGGGACCUGGCCCUGAAGAGUCCACAUGUGCUCCACUUGUGCGGCGCUGGAGAAGACUCAACCUGAAGGAGCCGGUUGUGAAAAGCGCUCCACAACCAAGGAGAGGCCUUCCUCCUGGAGGUCUUGCCGGCUCCCUCUACCGGCAAAGCUGAGCACUGCAGCAGCCGGAAAAGGAGAACUAUCUAAUGGACUCACUUAUCGCAGAGAGCCCUGUUGGGGAGUGGAUUCCAGAGGCAUUCUGUGGAUCCCAAAUGCCCCACUCUUGCAUGCCCACACGAUUAUGGAAGCGCCUCAUCUUCUCAUCAGAAAUACUGAAUCAUAA
rnacentral:lncRNA from 1 species